rnacentral:lncRNA from 1 species
UUUGCUUACAGAGCAAUGUAAGAAUUUUUUUCAAGAGUUAAAUGAGACAAAAACUAAAAAGUCAUAUUGGAAGUAUAAAUAAAUUCUAAUUUAUCAAGAAUAUGAAAUCAUCUGGCUGAAUAAAUGCCACCUAGUAUGGUUAAAUGAGCUGUUUAUGACAAAACUCUGACAUGGUCCUUGUCAAAACUCCCUGGCCUUAUGGUACCUUAUCUGUCCUUCAAUGAGAGUGUUAGAAAUUUAAGUAGUACUGUAUUUUCCCUAAGAUACAUGGUACCCAGGUUGAGAAACAGCAACUAAGCAGAAAUAUACCAAAUGCUGACUGACUGGUGGAAAGAUAAUACUCUUAUUCAAGGACUCCCACAGUUCUGCUUGUAUGGAGAUCUUUAGGUGAGAAGAGAGAUUCUAAUAAGGGAUUUAAGUCCUCACAUAUAAUUAUAUGAUCACAUGAGAAAAUACGGUUUCAUUCAAAAAGAGUUUAUAGGAUUUGGAGAAGUCUGGAUUAAAUGAUAGUGGUUAGACAGCUCUGCAACAUUUGAUAUAUAUAUAUAUACAGGCAACAAGUAUACAAUUAAAUGUGUUUCAUAAAAUGUCCAUUACUAUUUAAAUUUUAAAACAACAUCUGAUAUUUAGAGCUAGAAUUUUAAUAUAUUGCUAUAAUGGGUUUUUAUGCGAUUACUUAAAAUUAUGUAAAUAUAUUUUUGGCAAGAAAACAUAAUUACAAGUAACUAUAACAUUCUGUUAAGUAAAAUCAGUUACACUAUUAAAAUAACACUAUUAUUUGAAAACAUGUAUAUAUGUACAUGUUUAUACAUAUAAACUCAUAUCUACUUGCACACACAAUCAAAAUUGACAAUGAUUGUUUUUG